rnacentral:rRNA from 1 species
AGAGUUUGAUCCUGGCUCAGGACGAACGCUGGCGGCGUGCUUAACACAUGCAAGUGGAGCGACGAACCAGGGCUUGCCCUGGGGCAAAGCCGCGAACGGGUGAGUAACACGUGGGUGAUCUGCCCUGCACUUUGGGAUAAGCCUGGGAAACUGGGUCUAAUACCGAAUACACCUCACUGGCUGCAUGGUCUGGUGGGGGAAAGCUUUUGCGGUGUGGGAUGGGCCCGCGGCCUAUCAGCUUGUUGGUGGGGUGAUGGCCUACCAAGGCGACGACGGGUAGCCGGCCUGAGAGGGUGUCCGGCCACACUGGGACUGAGAUACGGCCCAGACUCCUACGGGAGGCAGCAGUGGGGAAUAUUGCACAAUGGGCGCAAGCCUGAUGCAGCGACGCCGCGUGGGGGAUGACGGCCUUCGGGUUGUAAACCUCUUUCACUAGGGACGAAGCGCAAGUGACGGUACCUAGAGAAGAAGCACCGGCCAACUACGUGCCAGCAGCCGCGGUAAUACGUAGGGUGCGAGCGUUGUCCGGAAUUACUGGGCGUAAAGAGCUCGUAGGUGGUUUGUCGCGUUGUUCGUGAAAACUCACAGCUUAACUGUGGGCGUGCGGGCGAUACGGGCAGACUGGAGUACUGCAGGGGAGACUGGAAUUCCUGGUGUAGCGGUGGAAUGCGCAGAUAUCAGGAGGAACACCGGUGGCGAAGGCGGGUCUCUGGGCAGUAACUGACGCUGAGGAGCGAAAGCGUGGGGAGCGAACAGGAUUAGAUACCCCUGUAGUCC